ensembl:lncRNA
AACAGCACUACAACAUGUCUGACACAUGAUUAUUACCUUACAAUUUCUGUAAUAGUGAGUGAUAUCAAAGUCAGUGUAUUUGCGCUGUGUUUCUUUAGUUUGUUAAGUAGCGUUUCCGUUACCUCUACCCUAUUUACUGGUCGAUCCACCCCCCAGCCCUCAUCCCCUUCAACCCAGUUUAGUGUGUUUGAGACUCUUUGAUUGUUUCGUUAUCAACAUGACAGUCCUUCGGCUCACAUUACCAUACCCAGUUUUCUUCAUGUUUCUUCUGCUGUGUUCAGAUUUUUCAAAGUCACAGAAGGAAAACUAUUUUCAGUGGAUUAAUGAAACUGCUGAUCAGGGUGAAACUGUUGUUUUACACUGUAAUGGAAGUGAGGAUAGUGAAGGAGAUUUUGUUUGGAAAAAGGAUGGGAAUCUUCUUUUUAACUACAGCCCCUUUCUUAACCAAACUGUAACAAACUACACAUCAAGCAGGAUGAGUGUAGAUUCCAGUGAUCCAUGGAAACUACAGAUAUCUAACGUUCAGCCUUCAGAUUCAGGAACCUAUCUAUGCUUCCCAUCAAAAAUUAUAUGGAUUUUGACUAUAAAAGUCAGUGAACCAAGUAAACCAAAGCAGUCUACAGAUCUGCACAUGUACAUCAUACCCUCAGUAACAGGAGCUGUCGCAAUAUUCUUUAUUAUCUUCGGCACUGUGUGGAUUCAAAGGAGAUGGAGAAGGAAUUAGGCUGCUGGAAAUAGAGGAACAAGGAAUACGCUUGUGAGUCAUCUUUCUUUUCUUGUCUUACGAAACUUUUGAUUGGUAUUGAAGAAUACAAAUGAUUUAAAAUAUAAACAAUGGCAACGCUUGUGGUCAGUGGUGAAUUGCGUCUGUUCAGUUUGCAGUCAGGUUGAGUACAAAAAAGUGUGCAACUGGAACACGUUCAACUCUAUUACAGCUUAUCCUGUGGCUGAGCAAUCCUAUAUAGAACAUUAACAACAACACUAUGGUUAACUGAUACUAUCUGUGUUCAUGAGAAAAAAGCACUGAACAAUAACAAUUUGUGAGAGGUUACCACAAAGGAAACCAAUCACCCUCCAACAAAUAACUGCCCAUCUGAAGAGACUAAGCCACAGGUUAACAACAGCCCAGAUAAGAGCCACUUAAAUGUAUUUUGAUUUGUUUAACACUACAUGAUUCUUUAUGUGUUCCUUCAUAGUCUGAAUUUACAAAGCUUUUCUUUGACUUUCACCUGGUUGUAACAAAGGCUGCACUACCCGUUGUGAAAGCUGCAGCCUUCCGUGUGAAAGCUAGCCAAUGGGGGCAGAAUUUAGAAGGUACAGAUACGCACCACAAGUGAGCAUAAAUACGAUGUUAAAAAAUAUGAUGAAGCUCUUGAUGCAGGGAGUAUAAACCAGCCUUUACUCUCAACCUGCAGCCUGUGUGUAACAUAUCUUCAUUAACACCAUUCUGAACAGCUACGUUUUAACACUCCACCUACUAACAAGCGUCAAAGAUUCAUAAUGACAGUUUAUGGGACAGUUUUUUUUUUCUCAUCACUUCAAUUGAAAUGCUGGCUGCCAACAGGUGUCUGUAAUCUGAUGCAUCUAUGGCUUGUACUGAAUGCCAAAUGAUGCUGCAUUGGCAAAAGUUGGAAAAAAGGAAGCUUCUGACUCACAGAGAGGAAGCAGAAAUGUUUUAUACAAAACAUAAAAACACAAGCUAACUUUCACCAAAUAAAGAGUUGCUAGUCAAAUUGAUUGACUAAUUU